rnacentral:rRNA from 1 species
AGGGAAUAGAUACCCAGGUAGUCCUGGCCGUAAACGAUGUCGACUAGAUCGUAGUGCCUCUGACGGUACUACGGUCGAAAGCAAAAAAGUGCUAAGUCGACCGCCUGGGAAGUACGGUCGCAAGGCUAAAACUCAAAGGAAUUGACGGGGGCGUCACACAAGCGGUGGAGCAUGUGGUUCAAUUCGAAGCAACGCGCAGAACCUUACCUGGGCUUGACAUGCUAGGAUUAUCCCUAUGAAGUAGGUAGGCCCGCAAGGGAACGAACUAGUACAGGUGCUGCAUGGCUGUCGUCAGCUCGUGUCGUGAGAUGUCGGGUUAAGUCCCUUAACGAGCGAAACCUUUGCCCUUAGUUACCAGCGGGUUAUGCCGGGGACUCUAACGGGGACUGCCGGUGUCAAACCCGGAGGAAGGUGGAGAUGACGUCAAGUCCUCAUGGCCUUUAUGCCCAGGGCCACACACGUGCUACAAUGCGGCGCACAAAGCGAACCUAAACGCGCAAGCUCAUGGAAAUCGCAGAAAUCGCCGCCCAGUUC